CGGGUGGUAGCGCAGAGGUCGUCGCGCCCGGUCUCCAAAACCGGGAGGACGCCGGUUCGAUUCCGGCCCACUCGCC
rnacentral:tRNA from 1 species